UUGGGCUGGUGUCACACCUGAGGUUAAUGAGCGUGAUGCAUGACGGGAGCUGCUGCAACAGAGCAGCUAGGAAGAAAAACGAAACAAAGUACGGUGCGGGAAAGCUGACAGAAAAAUAAGCUUCACCUUGUGACGGAUCAACCCGGAGGGGAGUGUCCCGGUUUUUGCCCGAGCUGAAUUUUUUUUAUUUAAAUUUUUAAUUGUUAUUGUUUUGUUUUUGGAGAAAAGCAGUCUGAGCUGUUGGAUUGCUGCCCCGGGGAGUUUGUACGUCUGCUAGCCACAGGGGAAGUCCCGUUUGCUGCGUUUUUGGGAAAAGAAGAAAAAAACUACAUGUAGAAGAUGAAACUUUUGAACUAAGCGUCUGGUGGACUGAAGGGCUGGUGAACUUUUCAAACAACCCUGGACCUACACAGAAUAAGAACCUCUGCUCAGGUUACAACCAUGAAAAGACCCUUGAGUGAAACACUGACCCAUUGGGUCCACAGCUGAACAAUUCCUCAUCCCUGAAAGAAGUGAGAUGAAUUCUGAACAGGCAGGGCUGCGGGGGUUUGUUGCUGCUAUCCAAGGUGAAAACAGCCAGAAGCCGAGAACUGCCUUAAUCCUUUGUGGCAUAGAUUCAACAAAUGUUCCUCAGAGAGUUUGGUCCAUACUGACAUGAUAGCAUCACGCAGUUGCUGCAGAUUUGUUGGCUGAACAUCCGUGAUGCGAAUCCCGUUCCACCACAUCCCAAAUGUUUUCUGUUGGACUAAGAUCUGGUGACCGAUCAAUGAACUCAUUGUUCAAGAAACCAGUCUGAGAUGAUUCACGUUUACAACAUGGUGCUGGAAGUAGCCAUCAGAAGAUGGGUGCAUAAAGGGAUGGACAUGGUCAGCAACAAUACUCAGGUAAUGAAAUCUGAACGGAUGAAAGGUCCUGGAGGACAGAAGGAGUUUUGGAUGUUCUCCUUUAUAACAAGGUCAGCAAACUUUGAAGUCAUGCUCUGAACAGAAGCCCUGAGGCUCGUGCUUCAUUAAAGGACACACCUGUACAGGGUAAUACAGGUGUGUGAUGCCUCCUCAGCGAUUCUGUGAAGCUGGAUAUGUGGUCCAUUGUUGCACAGAAAUGAUGAACGUCAAUCUCAGCCUCCUCUCCAACACCAAAGAGUAAAUUUUCUCAGGGAGAUUGAGAAGCACUACACCAUUUCUCCAGUCCCCGUUGUUUUGUAAGUUAUGAUCUCAGAUCUGCAGGUAUUUUUUUAUUUUUUUCCUGACUUCGUCAGACAUUUGGUCAUUGUCUCCCAGUUCUCCGUCCAAACUGGAAUCUUACAUCCCGGUCUUAUGCGACCGCGGCUUGUUUUGUUCAGCCUGCACCGUGGGUCCUGGCGGCUCCAUGAAUCCAGAGUCUGCUGUUUUAUUCUCAUGAUCAAAGCCUCUGUACUGUCCAUGGUGAAAUAUUCUUUGACAUAAUGCAUACAGCACGACUGUGCAAGCUGGCUGUAAAAAAAUUCAGACGUUCGAAUACUCUUUUUAAGGUAAUUUUCUUGACAGUACUUUUGAUUUGCCUCAAAGCCAUACUUCUAGAGUUUUUAUAUUUCAUGGCAUUCGCUGAUUUCUUUUCAUCCCUGAUUAAUUUAUUCAUUUCAUCAAAUAAAUGCUAAUAAUUUAUUCUCUUCUGUAUUCUGCGCGUGACAUUUUCUGUCCUUUUCAGAGUUUCCACUCUGCUAAAUCAGGUAUCUGCCUGCUGAAUGGAGGAGCUAAAAGACUUUGUGAUGGAUAAAGAAAGGAAGAGCAGCAUUAUCAGCAGACAGGGCUGCAGGUUCUUUGUAUCUGCUGGCAACGCAGAGAAAAUUAGCCCAAGUUUGACAGACAACAUAGUUUCUAAGGUUGUUCCCUCAAAAGGCCUUCGCUCUUGUACUAUUAAUACAGUUUUGCGCAACAUUUUUUAUCUGUUUUAAGCUUCUAUGGCACCAACACAUUGAUGUAUUUGUCAUUAUUUUCCUCCUGCAGAUAAUACUUUGUAGUUCUGUCCAACUUUCAUUAUUUCCUUCUGUUAUGUGGUUAAGGUGUUUCCAUUUAGAAAGGUCGCCUUCAGUUUGAUUAUUCUAGUUAUUUCCUGAGUUUUCCUUUCUGCUGUUGAUUUUUUUUUUCUUUUGAAUCUUGCUUGGAUUUUACUUUGGCUUUCAUAAGUUUACCUCCUUUCUUGUCUCCACACAUUACAUUGUGACAGCAGCUUUACUUUAAUAUUUUCUGCAUUGAAUCACCUUUUUUUUUAUUUUGUCCAAAAGAAAGUUUGCUUUGGUAAAUAAUAACUUAAAUGCUCUUGUUGAAGGAAUAUUGCUUAUAUAAAAAAAUAAAAAUAAAAAUCAGAUUAUAAUACA